GAAGAUGUCUUGUUAACACUUGAUGUCUAGAGAUUGGGAGCUGGUGAAAGAGGUUUGGCUUCAAUGACCGGAUAAUAAUGCCUUUCAGGAGAGAGACUACAAGAAGAAGGGCAGAUAAUAUAUGAAUAAAGUUCAGCCAAAAGGAUCAAAUGAGAAUAAAGGGAUUUAAAUAUGUGUACACACACAUACACACACACACUUAGUCUUGUAAUUUCAGGUAAGAAAGUCUCCUAACACUAUUUUGCAUCUGUUUUCUUUUUCUAAGUCAUGAUAAUGUAGAUGUUCUGGUCCAUCAUAAAAGAAUGUUUAUGUACAUUUCAGUCAUUCGAUAUGUGACUUUGGAAAUUAAACUAUAGGCAAAAUAUUUGUAUUAUAUAUUGCAUAUAAUUUCGUUUUGUAAAUGUUGAUUGCACAUGUGGUUAAAUUAUUGUUAAGACUGCUUUUAUGUGACCUGUAGUCUCCCACAAAACCUAAAGUAAUAAGCUGGCUUUUCUGUGAUA